rnacentral:rRNA from 1 species
AAUCAAUCGACUUUUUAUUAAGUCGUAAUAAAUUGAUGAAUUCUGAGUAACUACUUUAUUAGCGAACCGCAUGAUCUCGUAUCGGCGGUCUGUCGGUCAAGCAACUGCCUUAUCAGCUUGUCAUUAGGUUACAUGCCUAACGAGGCGUCAACGGGUAACGAACGAUUGGGGUCUGACAUCGGAGAGGGAGCCUGAGAAACGGCUACCACAUCUAAGGAAGGCAGCAGGCGCGCAAAUUACCCACUCCCGGCACGGGGAGGUAGUGACGAGAAAUAACGAUGCGGGGCCCAUAUGGGCGCUCGUAAUCGGAAUGAGUACACUUUAAAUCCUUUAACGAGGAUCUAUUGGAGGGCAAGUCUGGUGCCAGCAGCCGCGGUAAUUCCAGCUCCAAUAGCGUAUAUUAAUGCUGCUGCGGUUAAAAAGCUCGUAGUUGGAUCUGGGUCAACGGCGAGCAACCAUGUAGUGUUUAAAGCUAUAUGUGAUUUGCUAGACGCGUCGUAAAAGUGCGUUAUACUUUUUAAGUGUUUUCGUACUGACGUAGCCUGUGCGUGUUUGUAUUGAUAUAUUCUGAUCUUU